rnacentral:rRNA from 1 species
UACAGAGGUCCCAAGCGUUGUUCGGAUUCAUUGGGCGUAAAGGGUGCGUAGGCGGCGCGGUAAGUCGGGUGUGAAAUCUCGGGGCUUAACUCCGAAACUGCAUUCGAUACUGCCGUGCUUGAGGACUGGAGAGGAGACUGGAAUUUACGGUGUAGCGGUGAAAUGCGUAGAUAUCGUAAGGAAGACCAGUGGCGAAGGCGGGUCUCUGGACAGUUCCUGACGCUGAGGCACGAAGGCCAGUGGAGCAAACGGG